CCUAGAGCACGACCGAAGGCGCCGCCGGCAGGCAUUGCCAAGAUUCAUGUUGACGCCGGUGUGGCGCGGUUCAACAGGGGUGGGUCAGCAGCAGCUAUAUGUAGAGAUGGUGAAGGAAACUACUUGGGCAGCUCUGCCUUGGUGAUUCCAGGGGUCGUGGAAGCAGCAACAUUGGAAGCUAUUGCCUGUCGAGAGGCGCUGUCGUUGGACGAAGACCUGCAG
rnacentral:rRNA from 1 species